CUGGGGAUAUAGUUUAGUGGUAGAACACUUGCCUAGUAUGUGCUAGGCCCUGGAUUCAAUCCCCAGUACUAGA
rnacentral:tRNA from 1 species